GUGACGUCAGCAGGGUUGCCAAGUUCACAGUUUUAGUGCGGAAUUUGUCUACUUUGUUUUAAACUCUUGCAGCAGGUUGAUUUUCUCCUCGCGGGUUAAUUUUACAUAGUGCAUAAAUUGUAUUUGACUGAAUAUUCUACCAAUGAUAAACCUAAGCGAGAUGUUACAUUUUGUGAAGAGGGACCUUUGAGUUGUGUUUAUGAUCGCUAUGAGACCUUGGUUUUCAGUUUGCAUGAAACAAUGACUGUAAAAUAUGUAAUUUAGGAAUAGGAAUUGCACAAUUUGAGGUUUUAUAUUUGGUAUAUUGCGACUGGGCUACUUUUGGUCUAGGAUUUUCCCAUUGGACCAUUUUGUUUCCGCAGACCUGGCAACCCAGAGAGGGAGCGCCCACAGACAGUAGACAGUCCUGCUCGAGACAUUUUCUUUUUCUCUGAAAUACUUCAAGUUCAAAUAUCAGGACGUCACGACUUCGACUGAUGGAAGUUAUGUAUUUAAGAAACUGAGUCUGUGAACAUAUAACGACAUUCAGAAUCACAAUCAUGAAUGCUGUAAAUACUGUGCAGCUGUUCAUUCUGGUUUGGACCUUUACUGCUGUCUGUCAAGCUGAUGAUGAUAUCAGUGUAAGCUGUGAUGAUGUGACUGGAUCUGUGGGGAAAGAAAUGAAUCUCACCUGCAGCGUCUCUCUGAAGAUCACUGAAUGCUGCAUUAUAAUGUAUAAGUUUCAAUACCCUGAGAUCUAUGAUGGCUCUGCAAUUUGUCGUCAAGAUGUUUCUGUGAACCCCUGUAAACGGAGAAACAGUUUCACAUGCCUCUUCACUCCAACUACAGCAAUGACAAAACAAUUCAGAUUCUUUGUGCAAACAAACUGUGGAGUGAAAAAAGAAGACAUUCUUACUAUUGAAGCAUCAGAACAUGUGAACCCAGAAAACCCAGAAAACCCAUCAGGAUUCAAGAAUAAUACGAUCACUGUGGUUGUGCUUGGUUUCAUCAUCGUCAUCUUCAUCAUCAUGAUGGCGAUCAUUUACAAAACAAAACUGAACUUCACCAAAUUUUGUAGACGAGUCAGACAUGAUGAGGACAAUCGUCGAGAAAUUGAGAUAUUAUAG
rnacentral:lncRNA from 1 species